CUACGUAGGUGGCAAGCGUUGUCCGGAAUUAUUGGGCGUAAAGCGCAUGUAGGCGGUAAUUUAAGUCUGUCGUGAAACUGCGGGGCUCAGCCCCGUAUGGCGAUGGAAACUGGGUUACUUGAGUGCAGGAGAGGAAAGGGGAACUCCCAGUGUAGCGGUGAAAUGCGUAGAUAUUGGGAAGAACACCGGUGGCGAAGGCGCCUUUCUGGACUGUGUCUGACGCUGAGAUGCGAAAGCCAGGGUAGCGAACGGGAUUAGAUACCCCGGUAGUCCUGGCCGUAAACGAUGGGUACUAGGUGUGGGAGGUAUCGACCCCUUCCGUGCCGGAGUUAACGCAAUAAGUACCCCGCCUGGGGAGUACGGCCGCAAGGCUUAAACUCAAAGGAAUUGACGAGG
rnacentral:rRNA from 1 species